rnacentral:rRNA from 1 species
UACGUAGGGGGCGAGCGUUAUCCGGAAUUACUGGGCGUAAAGCGCACGCAGGCGGUUCGCCAAGUUUGGAGUGACAGUUGUCGGCUCAACCGACAAAGGACUUCAAAAACUGGUGAACUUGAGGACGAGAGAGGAACAUGGAACUCCAGGUGUAGUAGUGAAAUGCGUAGAUAUCUGGAAGAACACCAAUGGCGAAGGCAAUGUUCUGGCUCGUUUCUGACGCUCAGGUGCGAAAGCCAGGGGAGCGAACGGG